rnacentral:rRNA from 1 species
AACAGGAUUAGAUACCCUGGUAGUCCACGCCGUAAACGAUGUCGACUUGGAGGUUGUUCCCUUGAGGAGUGGCUUCCGGAGCUAACGCGUUAAGUCGACCGCCUGGGGAGUACGGCCGCAAGGUUAAAACUCAAAUGAAUUGACGGGGGCCCGCACAAGCGGUGGAGCAUGUGGUUUAAUUCGAUGCAACGCGAAGAACCUUACCUACUCUUGACAUCCAGCGAACUUAGCAGAGAUGCUUUGGUGCCUCCGGGAACGCUGAGACAGGUGCUGCAUGGCUGUCGUCAGCUCGUGUUGUGAAAUGUUGGGUUAAGUCCCGCAACGAGCGCAACCCUUAUCCUUUGUUGCCAGCGAUUCGGUCGGGAACUCAGAGGAGACUGCCGGUGAUAAACCGGAGGAAGGUGGGGAUGACGUCAAGUCAUCAUGGCCCUUACGAGUAGGGCUACACACGUGCUACAAUGGCGCAUACAAAGAGAAGCGACCUCGCGAGAGCAAGCGGACCUCACAAAGUGCGUCGUAGUCCGGAUCGGAGUCUGCAACUCGACUCCGUGAAGUCGGAAUCGCUAGUAAUCGUGGAUCAGAAUGCCACGGUGAAUACGUUCCCGGGCCUUGUACACACCGCCCGUCACACCAUGGGAGUGGGUUGCAAAAGAAGUAGGUAGCUUAACCUUCGGGAGGGCGCUUACCACUUUGUGAUUCAUGACUGGGGUGAAGUCGUAACAAGGUAACC